rnacentral:tRNA from 13 species
UCCUCUGUAGUUCAGUCGGUAGAACGGCGGACUGUUAAUCCGUAUGCCACUGGUUCGAGUCCAGUCAGAGGAGCCA